rnacentral:rRNA from 1 species
UGCGUAGACGGUUAUGUAAGUCGGGUGUGAAAGCCCCGGGGCUCAACCCUGGGAAUGCCAUUCGAGACUGCAUAGCUAGGGUGCGGAAGAGGGAAGCGGAAUUUCAGGUGUAGCGGUGAAAUGCGUAGAUAUCUGAAGGAACACCAGUGGCGAAAGCGGCUUCCUGGUCCAGCACCGACGUUCAGGCACGAAAGCGUGGGGAGCAAACA